AGGGUGUAAACGCUGCGGGCUUGGUGUUGGGGGUCCUUUGAGGGCGCCCAGUGCCGGAGAGAAGUUGUUAAGCCUGCUGCUUGGGGAGUACGUCCGCAAGGAUGAAACUUAAAGGAAUUGGCGGGGGAGCACCGCAACGGGAGGAGCGUGCGGUUCAAUUGGAUUCAACGCCGGACAACUCACCAGGAGCGACAGCAAUAUGUAGGCCAGGCUGAAGACCUUGCCUGAAUCGCUGAGAGGUGGUGCAUGGCGUAGACGUCU
rnacentral:rRNA from 1 species